rnacentral:lncRNA from 1 species
CUAGAGCUUGGUGGUGACUGCAGGACUGUGGCGGCUGGACGGCGGUGGUAGGAUUCACAAGAAAAGUCUCCGAUCGAAGUUGGCUCCGAUGAGAAUCCUCUGAUGCUCAAGUCAAAAAUCUAAAGCAUAGAGGGAAGAAGUGAGCACUUUUGGGGGAGAAGUUUUUCAUACCUCAAAGUUCUCCCAUGAGUCUUUAUUUAUAGAUGAUGUUGAAGAGCAGUGAGAAUGAAAGAGGAUCAGACGGUUAGUCUUACUUUAUCUAACGAGAUUCAGCUG